ACAUAUUGUUGCAGGUUGUGAUAAGCGUCCGUUCCUAAACAAUGAUAGUUUAUUAUUUUCUUCUCUCUCUCUAGUUCUGAUACCUGUAUGAUGCCAAGUUGAGCCACCCCUAAUCGAUGCCCUUAAGUGGGUUUUUCUGCCCACAACAUUAGUAGGGAACUUUCUAUAGUGUGUCCCUGCACAGUCUGUUUACGUCAUUCUUCCUACCGUUACGGGCUCAUUGUUGCAUUGUGACAUUUUAUAGCAUGUUUUCUGAUGUGAGUUUCAUGCCAUCGG